rnacentral:rRNA from 1 species
CAAUAGCGUAUAUUAAAGUUGUUGCGGUUAAAAAGCUCGUAGUUGGAUUUCUGCUGAGGAUGACCGGUCCGCCCUCUGGGCAGGUAUCUGGCUCAGCCUUGGCAUCUUCCUGAAGAACGCAGCUGCACUUGACUGUGUGGUGCGGUAUUUAGGACAUUUACUUUGAGGAAAUUAGAGUGUUUCAAGCAAGCGCACGCCUUGAAUACAUUAGCAUGGAAUAAUAAGAUAGGACCUCGGUUCUAUUUUGUUGGUUUCUAGAACUGAGGUAAUGAUUGAUAGGGAUAGUUGGGGGCAUUCGUAUUUAACUGUCAGAGGUGAAAUUCUUGGAUUUGUUAAAGAUGGACUACUGCGAAAGCAUUUGCCAAGGAUGUUUUCAUUGA